UGCACUUGAAAAGCCAGUCUAUGACACAGAGGCUCCAGGGGAAAGAAUGCGGCCACACCCUCUCUAAAUGAAGUGGAGACACAUCUAGAGCAAUGUUUCAACUGCUAAAUCAAAAUCAUUUGUGAAUUCUGAAGUCAAUUUGUUAUGCACUGAUCAACACUAAAAAGAAAGAAAGGAGUAGAAUAGAAUGAAAUGGAACAACGUGGAAAGUAUCAGUAUGUUUCACUUAUUAUAAGACUCUUGAGAGUCCCUUGGACUGCAA